ACAGAGGGGGCCAGCGUUAUUCGGAAUUAUUGGGCGUAAAGGGCGCGUAGGCGGCCAUGCGUGUCUUCCGUGAAAUCCCUCGGCUUAACCGAGGACGUGCGGAAGAAACUGCAAGGCUCGAGUCCGGAAGAGGGGGGCGGAAUUCCCAGUGUAGCGGUGAAAUGCGUAGAUAUUGGGAGGAACACCAGUGGCGAAGGCGGCUCACUGGACCGGUUCUGACGCUGAUGCGCGAAAGCGUGGGGAGCAAACGGGA
rnacentral:rRNA from 1 species